CCUACGGGGGGCAGCAGUGAGGAAUAUUGGUCAAUGGGCGCGAGCCUGAACCAGCCAAGUAGCGUGAAGGAUGACUGCCCUACGGGUUGUAAACUUCUUUUAUAUGGGAAUACAGUGAUGCACGUGUGCCUUUUUGUAUGUACCUUAUGAAUAAGGAUCGGCUAACUCCGUGCCAGCAGCCGCGGUAAUACGGAGGAUCCGAGCGUUAUCCGGAUUUAUUGGGUUUAAAGGGAGCGUAGGUGGAUUGUUAAGUCAGUUGUGAAAGUUUGCGGCUCAACCGUAAAAUUGCAAUUGAUACUGGCAGUCUUGAGUACAGUAGAGGUAGGCGGAAUUCGUGGUGUAGCGGUGAAAUGCUUAGAUAUCACGAAGAACUCCGAUUGCGAAGGCAGCCUACUAGACUGCCACUGACACUGAUGCUCGAAAGUGUGGGUAUCAAACAGGAUUAGAUACCCUUGUAGUC
rnacentral:rRNA from 1 species